rnacentral:rRNA from 1 species
GACGAACGCUGGCGGCGUGCUUAACACAUGCAAGUCGAACGGAAAGGCCCUGCUUUUGUGGGGUGCUCGAGUGGCGAACGGGUGAGUAACACGUGAGUAACCUGCCCUUGACUUUGGGAUAACUUCAGGAAACUGGGGCUAAUACCGGAUAGGAGCUCCUGCUGCAUGGUGGGGGUUGGAAAGUUUCGGCGGUUGGGGAUGGACUCGCGGCUUAUCAGCUUGUUGGUGGGGUAGUGGCUUACCAAGGCUUUGACGGGUAGCCGGCCUGAGAGGGUGACCGGCCACAUUGGGACUGAGAUACCGCCCAGACUCCUAACGGAGGCAGGAGGGGGGAAUAUUGCACAAUGGGCGGAAGCCUGAUGCAGCAACGCCGCGUGCGGGAUGACGGCCUUCGGGUUGUAAACCGCUUUCGCCUGUGACGAAGCGUGAGUGACGGUAAUGGGUAAAGAAGCACCGGCUAACUACGUG